AGAAGGUGGUGCCGCGGAGAUCCAGCGCCAGGACCUGCGCCCUCGGGUGUGGGUGUUCCUGGCGGACUUGGCGAGGUGGCCGGAGAGGGAGGGUCCGACGGGGCGGGCGCAGAGUCCAUCUUGUGCAGGGCAGCGACCCCACAUCAAAAUCGCCGCGAUUUCCCAGUCAGGUCAGAUCACGCAGAGCUGGGCGUUAAUUUGUAACAAAGUCGUUUCGGGGUGGACUGUUAGUGUGAGAGGAGAUGUAAACGAGCCUCGUGGACGUUAAAAGACGCAGUUACCUCAUUUAGCCUCGACAAAACAAGUGUGCUGCCCAGAACAGUGCUCUGUAAUUGCCCGACCCAUCCCCAGAACUGCCCCAUUCUCACAGGAUAAACAAACACAGGGAAAUUGUUCUAUAAAAGCAAAAACGUCCUAAUGUGCGUAGGACGUAUGUCGCUCUGAAGUUAUUCGCUAUUGACCCUGACUAGUCUAGGAAACUGGGGGAAAGAAGCUAAAUGCAGCAGCAGCAGCAUGAAAAUGAAAAUAGUUUAAAAUGAAUGAGUGUGUGGACCUAACGCCAGUCCAAGGUGUUCAAUGCAGCCACCAGAGCCAGAAUAUUCAAAUGAACUUUGCUAAAGGAUAACCUAAAAGAAUUUUCCACUAUGAGAGCCUGACAUAGUUCAUUCACCUUUAAUAAAUGAAGCAGGGCUUCCCUGGUGGCACAGUGGUUAAGAAUCCGCCUGCCAAUGCAGGGGACACAGGUUCGAGCCCUGGUCCGGGAAGAUCCCACAUGCCGGGGAGCAACUAAGCCCGUGCACCACAACUACUGAGCCUGCGCUCUAGAGCCCGCGAGCCACAACUACUGAAGCCCGCACGCCUAGAGCCCAUGCUCCGCAACAAGAGAAGCGCCGCAAUGAGAAGCCCGCACACCGCAACAAGAGUAACCCCUGCUCGACGCAACUAAAGAAAGCCUGCACGCAACAACGAAGACCCAACGCAGCCAUAAAUAAAUAAAUAUAAUACAUAAAUAAAUUUAUUUAAAAAAUAAAAAAUAAAUGAAGCAGUGAUGCCAAUUCAAAAA